CAGCAGCCGCGGUAAUACCGGAGGUCCAAGUUGCAGCCACAAUUAUUGGGUCUAAAACAUCCGUAGCUUGUUUAGUAAGUUUCUUGUGAAAUCUUGUCUCUUAAGGACAAGGCGUGCAAGAAGUACUGCUAAGCUAGAGACUGGAAGAAGUGGAGAGUAUAUUUGAGGUAGUGGUAAAAUACAUUAAUCUUAAAUAGACUAACAAUAGCGAAGGCACUUCACUAGUACAGAUCUGACAGUAAGGGAUGAAGGCUAGGGUAGCAAAACGGAUUAGAUACCCGUGUAGUCCUAGCAGUAAACACUGCUCACUAAACAUUGGGGCCUCUUCGAGAGGUUUCAGUGCUGUAGCGAAGGCGAAGAGUGAGCUACCUGGGAAGUAUAGUCGCAAGACCGAAACUUAAAGGAAUUGGCGGGGGGGUACUACAACAGGUGACGCAUGCGGUUUAAUUAGAUUUUACCCCGUGAAUCUCACCAGGAUCGAUAGCAGAAUGAAGGUCAGUCUGAAGGGCUUACCUGACACGCUAAGAGGAGCUGCAUGGCCGACGUCAGCCUGUGUUGUGAGAUGACCUGUUAAAUCAGGUAACAGGCGAGACCCAUGUAUAUAGUUACUUCUAUGAAGUUCACUAUAUAGACUGCCUGGGUAACCAGGAGGAAGGUGUGGGCUACGUUAGGUGAGUACAGCCCGAAUACCCUGGGCUACACGCGUGCGGCAAUGUUAGGUACAAUGAGAUACAACUCCGAAAGGAGGAGCAAAUCCCAUAAAACCUAACCUAGUUCAGAUUGAAGUUUGUAACCUAACUUCAUGACGAUGGAAUCUGUAGUAAUCGUUUGUUAUCAGCGAACGGUGAAUAUGUCCCUGCCCCUUGCACAC
rnacentral:rRNA from 1 species